rnacentral:tRNA from 1 species
GCCCAGGUGGUGAAAUUGGUAGACACGCCACUUUGAGGGGGUGGUGGACGAUUAGGUCCGUGUGAGUUCGAGUCUCGUCCUGGGCAC